AAUGCAGGCAGGCAGCCCUGUGGGUGAGAAGGCUCAGGAGGGUGAAGGCUUGUUUUGGAGGUCAUCCCAUUUAAUCCUUCCCUUCUGCCUUUCUCUUUGUUUCUCACUGAAGCCCAGAAAGCUUGCCUGGUCGUGAUUUUUUAUUAUUAGUAGUAUUAAUACUAGUGUCUUGCCUUUCGGUUUGGAUGGCCUGCAGAACUCAUGCCCAGCAGUGCACGGCCACUAAGCCCACUGAGGCAGGGGGCUUAACUGGGCUAGGGGGCUUCUAGCUCCCAGCCUCUGUGGGCUAUUUUUGCGGGUUUUCUCGCUCUCUCCCAGCAAGCCUCGUGUCUGUGGGAUGUACCCAGUCUUUCCCGUGCGCGCAUUUGAAAGGAGCAGAUGAAAGCUGCUCCUCUGAGCCCGCCUAAUUGGAGAGAAUUGCAGUUUAGAGGAUUAUGUUGCUACAUCCUGGACUUAGUCAUCGCAGAAGCUUGGAGGAAGAUGAAUUAGAAAGAUAGGGUUUUGUUUGAUUCCAUUGGUUCAACCUUUUACUGAGCACCUGCUGUUUGCCUAGGCCUAUGUUCAGCUCUGAUGAAGACAGUGGGAAGUUCAAUGCAUGCCUUCUGAGAAUUUCUGCCUAAUCAGAAAGAAUGCCCUUAAAAAUAAAAGAAAAAAGCAAAACAAAACAAACAGCCAAUAAACAAAACCAGCCGAAAGACCACAGAAUGAGGCAUGACAUUCUAAACGGAAUAUGACCAAGCACUAAAAUGUACGGGUAAGGCAACCAGAACAAGUCCCUUGAGGGUCAGAGGCAUGUGGGCCACUUAUUUUGGACAAUAGACUGUAAAUGGCCUGAUAUCAAAAAAUGUACCUAUAGAAUGCUCAACACCUCUCUCUGCCCCGGGAAAAGCAAGAAAGCAGGGUAAGAAAAGGAAAAUAGGGUCCAGUUCUCCACCUUCUGUGAAAAUAGCAAGGGUGUGCCUGUAUCCAGGAUUCUGCUGAGAGUCCUGUAGGUUCGAGUAUGAUCCCAGGAACGCUGUGAAGAAACCUGAACAUCCACCUGUCUGUAUCUUCAACCAUCUUAAUUGAGCUUCACGAGAUGGAAAAUGUGGUCAUGUAGAGGGGAAGAAAAUCUCUUACCACAAAACCAUGCAUUGGUUCGUUCAUUCAUCAAUGUUUAAGUGUCUACCAUAUUUCUGAGUCUCUGUUCAAGACUGGAGAUACAAAGUCAAAUAUCACAUGGUUUCUGAGGUUAAAGGAGGGUAGCACCAUGUGGGCAUAACUUAAUUCUUUUGUUAGUAUUUUAUAGCAAGAAAACUUAGUUGAAAUCUGGGCACAGAGUACUUAAUGGAUAUAGUAGGUGAGGGAAGAACACGAACUGCCUCUGUAUAAUAGAUAUCCCUAAAUACAAAACAUUCUAAGCAAAGCAGGAAGCCUGUGAGUUCUUUAUUGUGGCCCUCAGUGGCAGCCACGUGAGGCUUGGCAUAGCAGUCGUCCUCUGGUGCUCAGGGGACAGUAACUGAAGCUACUAGGGAGGAUGGGGUGACCAGGAGAGGUGAAACCAGAACUGUGCUACAAAAGAGGGAGAGGAUUUAGAUGGAAAGAAAAGGAAGGCUACUCUGAGCCGAUCACCCCUGGCACAGAUGUAGAGGUGGGAAUGAGAAUGGAUAUAUAGAGAGAGGUGGCCGGCCUAUCUGUGUAGGACCAUGCCCACGGCAAAUGGGAGAAAUGUGUAGUCAGGUGAAGUCAAACCAUCAAGGCGGAUCCUCAUUUGCAUAAUGAGGAAUUUAUUCUCACAGAAAAACAACAACAAAAAAAUUAACUUUCAUCAGGUUCCUGAUACAACCAGUUACUUUUUUCAUCUUGAUUAUUUAUCAUUGUCAUGAUCGUCAUCAUCGUCAUCAUCAUCACCUAAUCCUUACAUGACUACUGUGAAGUAGCAAAUGUAAUCGAUUGUAGAGGGAAGGAGAUCCCGGUUCAAACAGCAUAAGUGACUCACCCAGCAUCACAGAGCUAGCGUGUGGGUGGAACUGAGAGUCAUGCAUCAGCUCCUGCACCACAGCUGCCUCCCUGGCAGGGAGCAGGAGAACAGGGUCGUGGCCAACAUCCCCUUGCUCACUCCUUGGGUACUCUAAGUAUUGCCUGGGUAUGUGGUGACCAGGGGGGAGGCGAACAGAGCCCACCAAAAAGCACUGGGGUCACCAUUUUAGAAGCUGUCCCCCUGCCAAUCCUCUGAGGCCAGCCUGCCCUACUCUUCCUGAUGAGAGGUACCAGGAAAGUGUUCAUUAUGCCACCUGCUGUGUUAAGCACUUUACAUUCAUUACUUCAAUUAAUUCUCACGCCAACCCUUGAAAGUAAGAAUUAUGGCUCUUGUUUUACACCUUAGGACAUGGCGGCUCUGAGAAGUUGGUCUGACUCCAGUGACUGAGCUCUUUCCCCCGGGCAGCUGUGUGCUGUAAGAUGCUACCUCUGGAGCACUCCCCUCUGCCAAUGUCUUAGAGUUCACACUCAAUAAACAUCUUUUCAGAGAUAAGUACAUGCCACCCACUGCUAGCCACACACCUUGCCAACUCUACUUAAAAAAUAAAAGCAAAAAUCUUCAAGUAUUGAUUCAUAAGGAGCUUGACGCAUUAAUGAGAACUGGUGUCAGUGGGUGACUUGCGCAGUCACCAAGGGGAGGAAGGCAUCCCAUUCCUCCUUGCUUUCCCCAGGGAGGACCCCAGGGAUCACCUACCAAAAAUCGUCAACUCAGCCUUCACAUACGAAUGCUUGGAACCUGGUGAUCGAUAAUGACAAAGCUGAUGUUUGUUGAUCGCUGUGUAGCAGUCACUGUGCUAAGAACUUCACGUAUAUGGUGGGAUAGUAUUUCAAAGCAGGGUGUCUCAAUCUUGAUACUACUGACAUUUGGCACCAGAUAAUUCUUUUAUACAGGAGGUUUCUCUGUGCAUUGUAAGAUGCUUAGCAGCAUCCCCGACCUCUUUCUACUAGAUGCUGGUAGCAUCUCACUCCCUCCCAGUUGUGACCAUCAGAAAUGUCUCUAGACAUUGCCCAAUGUCUCCUGGAUGCCAAAGUUGCCCCCAGUUGAGGACCACUGCUUUAGAGUAUAAAUUGAUGUGCCUCUAAAUUGAUAUGUUGGGAUCAUUUGCCUCUAGUUCAGGCGAGCACAGAGACCAACAGCAAUCCUUAUCAGCUUUGACUUGGGCCAUUCCGGGCCAUUCUGCACCAUCUGCCUGGAAUUCUGGGUAACAGGGUCAUGCCUCAGGUCAACCUUCCCCCAUACAGCCAACACAUAGCAACAUGAGCCCCACUCAUGAAGGACCACAAACAUAAUUAAUUGUCCCCAAACCCCUGGGCUUUGGGUUUCCUGAGUUCGUAUGCUUGGGAACAGCUGCUAGUGGACAUAAAACGCUGGGAGAACCCUUUCAGAUCCUGCCUUGCCACUAAUUAGAUGUGCAAUCUUGCAAAGUGACUUAAGCUCUCUAAGGCUCAGUUUUCUUCUCUGUAAAAUCAAGAUAACAGCACUUUCAUCACAUGGGUUCUCGGGAAGAUUAAACAGGAUGCUAAAUAUAAAACACCUCCUCUUGUGCCAGGCAACAUAGUAGGCUUAAUCAAUCUAAAUUGUCUUUGUCCUCACCCUUAUCUCCCCAAGACAAAGAUAGGAUUUUAUCUGGAACAAAACCCAGUGAAGGGUAUGUUAACGAAUUCCAUCAAACAGAGCCAUGAUAUGAAUGAAUGGCUAUAUUUCCUUCCAAGCAUGAUUUUUGGUCUUGGCAUAAUUCAACCCCUUUUUGAUUCUCCAAGUAAUCUCUCUUCAACCGAGUACACAGACUUGAUGAAUCAAGGCUGCUUUUGGAGCCCUCACCAAGAAAGGUGUGGGCCCCUCUGCAGGUGUCUGCACUCCGAUAAGCUUGUCAGCAGAGGCUUUUCAGAGCCUGCCUCAUCUGUCAGAUGUACAGGUGUGCCUGGGCUCAGCUUACACCCUGAGUCAGGGUCACGGUUGGCAAGAUGGAGUUUUUCCCCAGGGAUGGAAGCCUUAUCAACUUGAAUAACAACCUGCUGCAGCCUGGUGCCUGCAGAGGGCAAUGAAUAAGCUUCUCUUUGCCCUGCAUCCAAAAGCCAAGAGCCAGUGCACAUUCUCAAGGGAAUCAGAUUGGGGGUGGGUUCUUGGUAAAACUGAAGAUUAUCAGGCCAAAAGAAACAGAAAAAUAGAUGGUAGCUGCUUAGUAAGCUUUUGUGUCUUUUAAGGUUUAACUGAUUAAGAAAAACCUAGAAGAUUCUAGACUGGAAAUCCAGUUUUGGAUUGCCUCUGCUCUUCUCUCGGGCAUGCAUUUUCCUGAGUAUCGAGAGAGAGAGAGAGAGAGAGAGAGAGAGAAGUAAAUACAUAUGAUGCUGAAAUCUGAAAAUCUUUCUAAUGGUUGCAGUUGAGAAAAUCAUUUUGAUGAAAGAGGAAGGUAAAGCUUUUGGAUGAAAUGGAAUUUGGGAGUAAUUCAGAUUUCAUUUAUUCUCUUUCUUGUUCUCUCUUUAAGUCAGUAGGGCCCUCUAACAGUCACUGUAAAAUAUUCUGCCUAUAGCAGUUUGCUUUAUCCAUAGUUGCUGUGAUACAGUUAUUAGAGGAAGCACAGCCAGUCUUAGGAGGUAGGCCUCUCUCUGGUAUCACCUGAAGAAGCCAUUUGAGGAUUCUACCCAAGAUCCAUGGAGGAAGAGUCUCUGUCACCAGCCUGCUGUGACCCAGCUGGGCUGGAAGCUUGGCUGUGUGAAUAUUGUAAAAGUUGCAUGAUUUGAACGUAGACUCAGCUGGGCUAAUGAGGACAGGACUUCAGAUAACCAUGUGACGAGAUCACUCUCCUUCCACAGAAUAAUGCCUCUUGGGGAUGGUGGAUGGUGAAGUAUAUCAACAUUUAAGAGCUGAAAAUAAAAACUUUGUGUUCCCCAGGAAAAUGAUGAAAUCACCCAGAACCCAACUGAAUAUCAGCUAAUAAUUAAGAGCACAGACUCCAUAGUUUGCCCUGCUUUUAAACCCUGGUUAGCUUACUAGUUAUGUGAGAACUUGGGUAGGUUACUUGCUUAUUCUUUGCCUCAGUUUCUCCAUCUGUAAGACAGGGAAAAUAAUGGUAUCUGUAUUUGUUUUUUAGAGCAACUGAAACAAGUCAUCACAAACUGGGCAGCUUAAGCAACAGAAAUUUAUCCUCUCACAGUCCUGGAGGCCAGAAGUUCCAUAGCAAGGUGUCAGCAGGUCCAUGCGCUCUCUCUGAACGCUCCAGGAAAGACUCCUUCCUUUCCUCUUCUAGCUUCUGGUGGUGGCCGUCAAGCCUUGGCAUUCUUUGGCUCACAGCUGUAUCACUCCAAUCUCUGCCUCUCUCACCACAUGAUGUUUGCCCUGUGUCUGUGCCUUCUCCUCUUACAAGACACCAGGCAUAUUGAAUUUAGCACCUAUCGUAACCUAGUAUGACCUCAUUUUAAUGUAAUUACAUUUCCAAAGAUCCUAUUUCCAAAUAAGGUCACAUUCUCAGGUACCUAGGAUUAGGACUUCAAUACGAUCUUUUCAGAAGACACAGUUCAACCCACAGUAGUACCCCAUGGGAUGUUGUGUGAAUUAAGUGAGAUAAUAUGAAAAGAGCUUAGACCAGUGCCUGGAACAUAGGAACAUGAACUACUUAUUCUUUCUAAACCUUACGAUAAGCUCAUAAGGGUGGAUCUUAUUGCACUUCUUCAACAGAAGAGAAACCCUAGGCUGGAGGUGAAAGAAAUUGGCCUAAAGCCACCCACGUAGUUAGUGGUACAGUUCAAGUUUAGAGUGGCUUGCUCUAACUCCAGAACCCAAGUACUUCUAAUAAUCUAUUACUCCGUACUCCUUCUAGAGCGACUUGGCUUUCUAGAACAAACCAGUUUCUUCAUACUUUCCUUAUAAAACUCACUUUCCAACCCUGGGGUUCUCCUACUUCACUCUCCUGCCACCUGCCACGAAUUAUUCAAGUUCAAAUUCACUACUUUAGAACCCCCAAUUAAAAAGCACUCAGCUAGAAUGGCGGUGAUUCUUGCAUAUAUCUUUAACCAAGCUUGGCCAACCCACUCUUGCAAGCCACAUGCAGCCCAGAACGGCUUUGAAUGCAGCCCCCCAAAAUUCAUAAACUUUCUUAAAACAUCAUGAGAUUUUUUUGUGAUUUAUUUUUAGCUCAUCAGCUAGCAAUAGUGUUAGUGUAUUUUGUGUGUGACCCAAGACAAUUCUUCUUCUUUCAGUGUGGCCCAGGGAAGCCAAAAGAUUGGACCACCCCUCCUGCCUUUAACCCUUACUCAUUCUUAGUACAAUGUCAGGUUUAACCAGGACAUCAAAAUAGACUGCAACAUUUCCUUACCUCAAGGGUUUAUGGAUGAGAAACAUCAGCCAAUUACAAAUGAAUUUACAAUAUGCCGGAUAGUAUUCUAAGUGCUUUAACAAAUAUUGACACAUUAAAUCCCCCUGACAACUCUGUGAAGGAAAUAUUGGUUUAUUCCCAUUUUACAGAUUAGGAAUAUGCAGACACAGAAAGGCUAAGAUCACAGAGCUAGAAUGUUCCAGAACAGGGACUUGGCUGGGGUAGUCUGCCUUUUAGUUCCAGAGCCUAUGCUUUUACGCACUGUGUUCCAUGUGCAGUGGAUUUAUUUAAACAUCCCCUGAGGACAUUAAGGUUAGUUUUAAUAUUUUGACAUUCGAAACAAUGCUAGAGUAAACAUCCUCAAGCUAAAUCUUUACGCACAACCCGAAUUAUUUUUCUGGUAGAAUUGUUGUGUCAAAGAGUAAGCAUGUUAUUAAGGCUUUGGUAUGUAACGUCAAAUUGCAUGAAUGAGGGAAGGAGUUCUCAGGAAGUGAAAAUGGGAUCAGCAACAGCAUGAAAUGGAAAAGCAUGGGGGUAUGUCUGGAAAAUGGCAAACACUCCAAUCUGAAUGGAAUGUAAAGUGCUUGAAGACAAGAGAUUGAAGCACUGCUUCUAAAUUGGUCUGGACCCAGCUUGUGGAGCACUUUGAACACCAGACUUCAGAAUUUAGACUCUGUCGAGCAGCACUCAAAAACCAGCAUACAUUUUUGAACUGGGGAGUGAAAUGAUCAGAUUCUGUCUAAAAUAAUUUGCUCAAGAAAAACUUGAGGAAAGAAAAACUUCUUUCCCUUCAUAAGAGGAGUCAUUCAUCACAACUGCAUCAGUACAAAUGGACUGGUGGGGGUAUAUUUCAUUAUUCUUUUAACAUGGUACAUUCUUGAAAUUACCUAUUUUUACACACAGAGAAAUAAAAGGAUUAAUAUAAAGAAUAAAUAUAUCAAUAACAAUAAUUAUAUGUAUUCUAUUUUAAUAUAUGGAUUAUUUUAUAUAUUCUAUAAAUGUAUAAUAUACUUAAUAUUAUAAUGUAUAAUAAUACAGUAGUUUCCUCUUAUCCGCAGUUUAGCUUUCCAAUGUUUUAGUCACCCAUGGUCAAGGGCAGUCCAAAAAUAAUAAAUGCAAAAUUUCAAAACCACAGAACACAGAAGAUGGUUCGAAUGAGUAUUUUUUUAAGUUGCCCAUGGAUGGUAUAUCACUAACAUCAUUCUAGAUGUAGAAAUGAGAAGUUAGUUCAUUUCACACAAUGGAUGCCCCAGGACAUUAGGGCUUCAUUCUCUGCAUAAAUGGUUGAGAAAAACUGGUAGAAUGUAUCUUAGGAGUGGAAUUUCUGCUGGGGGUGCACAAUUCCUAUGGUACCUGACGGUGCCACAGGGUUGUAUCAAGGUACACUCAUUGGUAAGAGAAUUCACAGCUCUACAGCACUGCCAACAAAUCAGGUUGUUAAAAUGCUUGCUACUCUGAAAGGAGUAAAAUAGCAUUACAGUGUCUUGAACUUGCAUUUCUGCCAUUACAAAUAUGGAAAUCUUUCUUUUUUCAUAUUUGUAUAGACUAGGUUUCCUUCUUUCUGAAUUUCCUGUUUAAUCGC
rnacentral:lncRNA from 10 species